UACGAAGGGGGCUAGCGUUGCUCGGAAUUACUGGGCGUAAAGGGAGCGUAGGCGGAUAGUUCAGUCAGAGGUGAAAGCCCAGGGCUCAACCUUGGAAUUGACCUUUGAUACUGAGAAGCUUGAGUCUGGGAGAGGUGAGUGGAACUGCGUGUGUAGAGGUGAAAUUCGUAGAUAUUCGCAAGAACACCAGUGGCGAAGGCGGCUCACUGGCCCGGUACUGACGCUGAGGUGGCGAAAAGCGUGGGGAGCAAACAGG
rnacentral:rRNA from 1 species